UUUCGAGAGAAAAAAAAGAGAGGACAAAAUAGGAAAAGGGUUAGGGUAUAGACAUCAAGUCAUUAAUCGUCCGAUCCUAUUGGACCGGAGUCAAUCGGUUCGGUACUAAACCGAAAACCGGAGAAACUCCCGUUAUACUUCAUCGUGCAACUGCUCCCGCCGGUCAAAGUCAGAUGGCCUAUUUCAAUCGGCCCUCCGUAGACGGUGAUCCUGACAAGCCGGCCGAUCCAUCCUUGACGACUACAUCGCAUCAUGUUUUUGAAGACGAUGCCGGAAAAUCGGUAUUCUCCAUUGCUAUCAUCGAGAAUAUGGAAGAGGAAUAUGGCCUUUAUGUGUGGCCCUGUAGUAUUAUCCUGGCCGAGUAUGUAUGGCAGCAGAAAGCACGAUUUGCUGGUGCUAAUGUCGUUGAGCUUGGUGCUGGUACUUCAUUGCCUGGAUUGGUUGCGGCUAAAUUAGGCGCCAGUGUCACCUUGACUGAUGAUGCUAAUAGAGUGGAGGUGCUGGACAAUAUCAGGAAAGUUUGUGACCUGAAUAAUCUUAAUUGUAACAUAAUGGGACUUACUUGGGGGAUCUGGGACAUAUCGAUUUUCAAUCUACGACCUACAAUUAUUAUUGGGGCUGAUGUAUUGUACGAAAACAGUGCAUUUGAUGAUCUCUUUUCUACCGUGGCCUUUCUUCUCCAAAAUUCACCGGGGUCAGUUUUUAUAACAACCUACCACAAUCGUAGUGGGCACCAUCUCAUUGAGUUCUUGAUGGUCAAAUGGGGGUUGAAGUGUGAAAAGCUUGUUGAUGGAUUUGCAUUCUUGCCAUCGCAAAAGGCCUCCAAGCUUAGUGGCAAUAUUCAAUUGGCUGAGAUUGUUCUCAAUUGCGGACCAGUCAAGGAGACUUCUCUGGUGAAAUGACGAACUUCACAAGUGUGUGGUGGAAAUAUACAAGUGUAUGGUGGAGCUGUUAAGUUCAUUAGUCUUCUUCUACUUUGAUCCAGAGCCAAGAUAUCAGCACAAGAGACAACACCAGGACAAUAAGAUUCCAGUUCUUUCUUCGCAUUGUCAAUCACAAAAAACGAAUGCAAAGACAAAUUAGGUGGCCCAUCUUUCUCUGCCACGUUGUUCCCUACUGAAUUCAGCAGUAUGGAUGCAUCACAACCCUUCAAACCAAGUAAUCAAACAAAACCAGUUUAGUUUUGUCAAACACAGAAGAGAAGUUUAAACAUGCUGAGAAUUCUAAAGAGAAUAGAAUACCCUAAUAAAGCAGUCAUGAAAGUGCAUCCGGAGAAGUGCAGCAGGAACAGUCUUGUCUUUAUAAGCUGCAGCCCUGACAGCUUUAGUAACGAUGAAGUCGGCACCAGGGCAUGUCUUCUCGUAGUAGUCUAAGCUCAAUGAACUUCCCAAGGACAAAACAGACAGCAAAAGAACUGCAAAGUGUGAGAAUAGCACAGCAAAGGAGGCCAUGACCCUCAAAUAUAGGAAAUGAAAGGGUGAUAGAAGAGUUAGAAUACAAAGCCGUGACAUGAUAGCGGCCCCCAGACGUUGAACAUCAAUGCAAAUAAUGGAGAAGUGAUUCUGAAGCAAUGCUGAAUCUCAACAACAUGCACGACACUGGCUGCUGUUGCUCCUUGAACCUCAACUUUUGGACUUUGGAGAGGGACAAAAUCAUGCAAAAUUUUGGUAAUAAUUAUGUUUGCUUUGGAUAAAAUAAAAGAUUUUGAAACCCAAAAUUGGUUUUACCAUACUCUUGUUGUAGUUUUUGGCAUCUUUUAAUUGGUCCCAUUAAAUUGGUGCACUUUAACAAAACACGGUUUCGAAGAGACCAAAUAUUCUUCAUUUAUAAAGUAAAAGCUAUGCUACUUUAAAAUUA